AGGUCACCUACGCCCCUGGUCAGUGUGGCUCCCCCAGACCAGACUGAGCCCAUGUCACCCGCUGAGGACGCCUUCCCUCGGGCACAGGUAACACUGAUUCAAUAGUAUUCAUAUAAAAAAUGGCUCCAUAUGAAAAAGAUACUGUUGG
rnacentral:lncRNA from 1 species